AGGUGUCCAGGCAACCUUGGAAAGUGAUCCUUUCUCACCAAUAGCCAAUCACAGAAAGUGGCCGCAAAAUAGCAAAUAACUAGCAAAAGCUUCUUGUUUGAGAUUACCAUUUGCCUAGUGUGUGUGUGGAAAUUUAAAGCCCUGUAUAUGUGUUCUGCUUGUAACGAGUGCUGUAUUUGCUCUGAGAAUAGCAGUAUCAUGUAAUAAGUUUAUUGGUGAUUAGGGGUGAGGGUGUUAAGGGUUAGGAGGGCUUUUAGGCUCAAG